GGGGGGGGGGGGGGGGGGGGGGGGGGGGUGGGGGUGGGGGGGGGGGGGGGGGCUUGCGGCGGGAUUCAGGGGCGGGCGGGGGAGUAAUGCCUAGGAAUCUGCCUGGUAGUGGGGGAGAACGUCCGGACACGGGCGCUAAUACCGCAUACGUCCUGAGGGAGAAAGUGGGGGAUCUUCGGACCUCACGCUAUCAGAUGAGCCUAGGUCGGAUUAGCUAGUUGGUGGGGUAAAGGCCUACCAAGGCGACGAUCCGUAACUGGUCUGAGAGGAUGACCAGUCACACUGGAACUGAGACACGGUCCAGACUCCUACGGGAGGCAGCAGUGGGGAAUAUUGGACAAUGGGCGAAAGCCUGAUCCAGCCAUGCCGCGUGUGUGAAGAAGGUCUUCGGAUUGUAAAGCACUUUAAGUUGGGAGGAAGGGCAGUAAGUUAAUACCUUGCUGUUUUGACGUUACCAACAGAAUAAGCACCGGCUAACUUCGUG
rnacentral:rRNA from 1 species